UACGAAGGGGGCUAGCGUUGCUCGGAAUCACUGGGCUUAAAGGGCGCGUAGGCGGGCUCACAAGUCAGGGGUGAAAGCCCACGGCUCAACCGUGGAAGAGCCUUUGAUACUGUGGGUCUCGAGGGAGGUAGGGGCGUGCGGAACUUCCGGUGGAGCGGUGAAAUGCGUAGAUAUCGGAAGGAACAUCGGUGGCGAAAGCGGCGCGCUGGACCUCUUCUGACGCUGAGGCGCGAAAGCCAGGGGAGCAAACGGG
rnacentral:rRNA from 1 species